GAUGAACGCUGGCGGCGUGCUUAACACAUGCAAGUCGAACGAUUAACCCUUCUUCGGAAGGUCAUAAAGUGGCGAACGGGUGAGUAACACGUGACCAACCUGCCUCUCACAUUGGGAUAACUUAGAGAAAUCUAAGCUAAUACCAAAUACUCUUGAUCCGCCGCAUGACGGAUCAAGGAAAGCUUUCGCGGUGAGAGAUGGGGUCGCGGCCCAUUAGGUAGUUGGUGGGGUAGAGGCCUACCAAGCCGAUGAUGGGUAGCCGGGUUGAGAGACCGACCGGCCACAUUGGGACUGAGAUACGGCCCAGACUCCUACGGGAGGCAGCAGUGGGGAAUUUUGCGCAAUGGGCGAAAGCCUGACGCAGCAACGCCGCGUGCGGGAUGACGGCCUUCGGGUUGUAAACCGCUUUCAGUGGGAAAGAUAAUGACGGUACCCACACAAGAAGCUCCGGCUAAAUACGUGCCAGCCGCCGCGGUAAAAC
rnacentral:rRNA from 1 species